rnacentral:rRNA from 1 species
GGCGGACGGGUGAGUAACGCGUGAGAAUCUGCCUCGAGGAUGGGGACAACAGUUGGAAACGACUGCUAAUACCCAAUAUGCCUAAGGGUGAAAUUUAUUUAGCCUUGAGAGGAGCUCGCGUCCGAUUAGUUAGUUGGUGGUGUAAUGGACUACCAAGGCAGCGAUCGGUAGCUGGUCUGAGAGGAUGAGCAGCCACACUGGGACUGAGACACGGCCCAGACUCCUACGGGAGGCAGCAGUGGGGAAUUUUCCGCAAUGGGCGAAAGCCUGACGGAGCAAUACCGCGUGAGGGAGGAAGGCUUUUGGGUUGUAAACCUCUUUUGUUAAGGAAGAAGAAAGUGACGGUACUUAACGAAUAAGCAUCGGCUAACUCCGUGCCAGCAGCAGCGG